UCAGACGCUGGAAGUCAGAGCUUCAAUGAUCACCCAGGGCAACAAGUCGGAAAACCCGGAUUGAUUGCUGCAUCCAGGCUAACCACUUACACGACUUGUUCAGGUUGUUUUUGGGGGGAUUUCAGCUGGACCGUCCUGAAAUGAGCCUCGUUACAGGAGAGGAUGUUGGUUUAAAGGAGGAAACACUAAUGUGUGGAGGACAUUUUCCAUGAGGAGAAGAAAGGCAGUGCUGCUGUGUGAUGCUGGAAGACAGAAAAAAUAAACCUGAUCGUGAGCUGGGAGGAGAAGAUGGAUGAAGCUGAAGACCUGCUGAUGGUGACACAACACAAAGAGAACCACUUGGUGAGGCACUGUGGGAUUCCUACACGGCGAAACUCUAAGAUCUGCUGAAAAACUGACGAAGACAAAGUGAGGUGUUGGUGGGACAGGAAGUUUGGUGUUUACCUGCACUGGAUGAAGGCCUGUAGAGGAGAAGAUCUCUGCUGGAGCUUCUGAAUGUCGCAAGCACCAGCAAGAUCCAAAAAUAACAAAAACAAUUUCAUUUAGUCAUGGUAACAUACAGAGCUUAUCAGUGAUCAAUGAAGAACUUCUUUAUGAAUCUGUACCAUCAAAAACAUAAAUAAAAAGUGCAUUUACAACAGAAGAUGAGAUCCAGAGCAGUACUAGUCUGACAGAUUGGCCUCGAAGCAGAACAAAGAAGAAUC